rfam:Toxocara canis scaffold123, whole genome shotgun sequence.
CAGGCAGUAGCUCAAUGGUAGAGCUUCCGCUUCGUAUGCGGGAAGAUCUGGGUUUGAUCCCCGUCUGCUUAC